AGCUACAUAUACACAUAUAUAAAUAGCUGCAGUCUAAUUUUCUCAAUUAGAUCCCCAAUAUGGUAGUCAACCAUCUCAUGAUCUGAAGACCUUUGAUAAGCAAGAACCCAGCACUCCUUCCAGAAGAAGCCCAUUCCACUUGGCCAAGCAAAACAGGAUAACUCUACAGAUAAAGGUAGUGCCAUGUAUUUGGAAAGACCUUUGGCUUUGGGAUCAGGCAGGACCUGGGUUUGAAUCCUUCCUUUCGCAUUUUCUAUGGAGGUCCAGAUAGCGCAUGAUAACAUCAAAGGGAGAACUUCUCUGACUUCAGGAAUCUUAAGAAUCUCAAUGGGAAUUACUGAUAUGCUCUGAACACUUCCUACCCUAAGUUCAAAGUAAGUUUCACACCUUGACUGACUCCCACUUGGUCCUGGCCUUAACUUUGUAGUCCCUCUCUUGUGGUUCAUACUCAUGCCCCUGAUGGCAUUGCCCUUCAUACACAGGCUAUCUGUGAUCACAAAGAAGAGACACUGAAG
rnacentral:lncRNA from 1 species